UGCUACCAAAGCACAUUUGUUACUAUACUGCGUUUCAAAUAUUUUGAUAGUUUGUCUUAAUAUUAUAGUGUAUUUUAGACAUUCAAAUCUUUAUUGGGCAACUUCACUAGGAAGAGCUGAAGCCCCAUCCUAGAGAGACCGCUGGAAGCCUGUUAGUGUGAUUCUUCAGCAAUCCUUUAAACAAUGGUCUCCUCCCAACCCCCACUCAGCUUAGGCCCCUUUUUCAGGGCCUGGGGCUGUGCUGGCUUCUCCUCUCUGGAGCUGAUGGGAAGACUCAAGAUUGUACUUUCAGAACUCAUUAGAGCUUGGACCACUCAGGGUCCCAAGAGAAAAGGGAAGUGGGGAAGUUUGUUCUUGUCUGAAUCCUAGGCUCCCAUCAAAUCAGGCCUCCAGCAGGAACCAUGUGGACACUUUCCCAGAUGACCGGAGGGCACUUAAUCAGCAGCAGCUUGGUUCUUCCCUCCCAGCAAGACAAGCCCAGCCCCGGGAUUUUUCUCCUGACCAGAUAGGCCUUUUCAAUGUGGUGUAUAAGACCUGCUUUUCUCCCCGGCCAAACCCUCCCAGCUUCUUGUUGAGCGGUUUCAGGAGAUGUUAAUAAGUGCUAUUAAUUGGGACCUAAUUUGCAUGCCUUCUGUGUAAGUGGUGGUUUGUAGCUAGAGGGGAUCAAAGCUUGCUUGUACAGCUCUGCCCCACCCACCACUGCAUGGGGCCUGGAUUACCCUUGCGUCUGCUCCUUUCGGUUUAGUGAGCUCAGAGGAAUAUCGUAUUUAGUAUGCUACGGCCCUGGGCGUCCUGGAAAUGCAGUUGACACGCUUCCCCCAAACCCUGAGCGACACAAAGGAAACUCAUCCACAGUGCCUGAUUGGGAGGGAGGCUGCAUGACGUAGGGUGGGCGCUGUGUGAUUCAGUCAGCGGUGGCAGAUUUUUGCAAGCAUCCCUGCUCCUAAACCUGCAAUCACAAGCACGCUGAUAUUAGAAUUCUGAAGAGGUGGGGUGUUUUGUUGUUUUUGUUUUGUUUUGUGGCUGUUGUCGUCGUCAUUUAUUGGUUUGUUUUUGUUUUUCCUGUUGGGGUGGUGGUAUCGAGCCGUUAAGCACUUUGCAUUUCUAAUUAGUCAUAUGCCUGGGAUGAUGGCUCAGUUGGUAUCACUGCAAAUGCCCGCCCCCUUGCUUGCCCAAACGCUUGGUAAUUAGCCCUGCAAAGAUGGGCAAGCCUGACUGGCAGCAGCUUUUGCAAAAGGCUCCCCAGCCCUCUCAACAACAAAGGAAGCCCUCGGCACCUUACCCCCUAACUGUCUUCUGAUCCCUCGCUUUCCCACUCUGCCACGCCCCAGGAUUUGGAGUGUGUUUGUGUUUGAAGUGUUGGCACUAAUGUUUUGGUGGAAAUUUGUAAAUCUUCCAAGUGUGGGCAACGUCUUGUUUGAAAUUUGUACUAACUCCUAAGAGAGAAAGGAGGUGGGAGCAUUCACUUUUACAUUCGAACAGGAAUGACCGUAAGGAAAAUGGCUUGGUUAACCCUAGGCCUCCUACCCAGCCAUCCCACGCCCAGAACAACACAGAAAUGGAGCAGGAGUUUCUUCCCCCUCAGAAACACUAGGAUAUAUCCACCUGCACUGUCUGUCUGUAAGAGCCCUAAACUGGAAACUGCCCAAUAGCUCACACAAUAGAAUAAAUAUGUAAUUGUAACAAAUUCACACAAUGGCACCUUAUGCAGCGCCAAGAAUACAUACAGCUACAUAUAAGGAAUCUCAUAAAUUCAAAGUUGACUUGAAAAACCACAGCCAUUAAAAAAAUAGUUUUGCAUCAUUUUAUUUACAAAAGCAGAAAAGUAGAAACCAGGCAGUCUGGUCUCGGUGGUGCUGGGAAGGUUCCCUGGGAGUGAGCAGUUUUUAUACACACAGUUACCGAAUCUAGGGCUUGAAUCUGGAAUCCUAUGAAAACACCAGGGCAGUGGUGGUGCAUGCCUUAAAUUCCAGUCCUUGGAAGGCAGAGGCCAGGGGAGUCUGAGUUUGAAGCUAGCCUGGUCUACAAAGUGAGUUCCAGGACAGCCAAGGAGAGAGAAGCCCUGUCCUAAAAAAAAACAUAGAUAGAUAGAUAGAUAGAUAGAUAGAUAGAUAGAUAGAUAGAUAGAUAGAUAGAAGAGAGAAAAGAAAAGAAAUCUACUGAACCGUAGACUAUAUAACACGUGCGACUUCCAGCAUGCAUAAUAAACUCCGAGAAGUUGUUGUGGUUUGAAAUGGGGGCUUAACAGUUAACUCCAUCACUCAGUGAUUGGAAGAACAAGACUGACCUGGCCUCCCUCCCCUGUGAACUGGGUCAAGGUGUCCUAGGGAGAAAUUAGGUCUGCUUUAAGGGGUGCUCGUGGACCAUCUUCCUUAGCAGCAGCCUUAAAGGGAAGAGCUCCAGUGGCAAUCUGGGAGCUGGUGGGAAAAAAAUGCAGCCACAGAGGGAAAACCAGGCAUUAGGAGCAGAGAGGAUGCGACUAUGUCCAGAAUUUACUAAUGGCAUUCCCCAGGUACUCCUGACACGGUGUCAAGGACCAGGAACACCUCAAAGUCCAAUGGAAAUAUUUAAGGGUUUAAAUAAUGUUUAAUGAUCCCAAGAUGAAAAAUGGAAAAUACAAUUAGUAUGUAUUUUAUAGUUGAGUGUCCACAAACAAAACAUAACACUAUGCCUAAGUAAUUCAGUGUUUUUCAUGCAUGAGCAAGUACAUUAGUGUCAGGGGUUUUGGUCGAACUACGGGGUCUGAUUCAGGGCAUGUAGUGAGCCAGAGAGUUUGCAAGAUCACAGGCUUCCAAAUGGUACCCUCACUCCGGGUCCACGGCCUUUUAAUAGCCCAGGGAGUCAGUUACCUAGUGACAUGGUAUAAUAUACUGGAAAAAAAGGUGACAUCAAAGUUUCAUGUUCACACAUAGUUCAGAGCAAUGUUUUUAUUGUAGUAAGAAAUGCAUAAUAAAUUCACUCACCGUUUAAGUAUUUUAGGUGUACAGUCCAGCAGAUUAGUCAGAAUCAGUCACAAUAUUUUUAUUUAUAUCCUCAAACGAAAGAACUCCCCAAGCGGUCACUUCCGUUCCCUUCGCCUCUGGCCUUUAAUCACUGUUCUCCUCUCUAUGGAUUUGGCUGCUCUAAGCACUGCCCAUCAGAAGAUUCUCACAAUGUUAUUUUCUUUCCCCUUAGCUCAUGUUUGCCCAACGUAAGUCUCAUCCACGUUAACAUUUGUGCCCGAAUUUCAUUUCGUUUUAAGGAUAAACAAUAUGCCCCUGUGUACACAGGUCUACAAUGGUCUGACCAGUUGUCUCCUCCACAAAUUUAUAUGCUGCAAUCCUAGCAUCCAACAUGGUAAUAUUAGGAGACACAAGGGACAGGUGUAGAAUUGAAGUAUACCGCACAGAGAUUGCUCACACUUUCCACCAUGUAAAAGUUCUUCAACGAGAAAGGUCAAAGAGAGCCCUCACCAGAAACUAAAUGUACCUAGAGACUUAGUCUUUACCUAUACAGUCUCAGAUUGCCCAGUCUCCAUCACCCUAAGAAACAGACUUCUCUUGCGUAGAUGCCACCCAGCCACUGAUAUUUUCUCACAGUAGGCCAAAGGAACAGACAGCAUCAGAUUUUGCUUAGCCACGCAUCCAUCUUUAGAAAUGAAGCCUGUGCCCACCGUUUGGCUGCGGUGAAUGGCUGUAAACACCAGUGCGCAGACGCCUCCUCAAGGCCUUUCUUCCCAUCCCUUUACCCAGAAGAGGGAUUGCUGGACCAUGUGGUUAUUUAUUUCAUGUUUCAUUUAUCUGAGAUAACAAAAGAACAGCUAUUUUUAGACAUCCUCAACUACUAUUUGAAUGACCCAGAUGGACACAUUCCUCAGUGGCCGCUCUGCAGUUGUCUCCUGUGUGGACUGCAGGCCAGCUCGUCAGUGCUUUCACUAAUAAAAUGCAGAGGAAGUGACACUUGGCCAGCUCCCAAGCUGACCCUUAAUGGACCUGGCAGCUUCUACUUCCUUCAUCCUGGAAUGCUUACUGUUGGCACAGUCCUUCUUGGAAGCCAGCCACCGUGCUCUGAGGCGAUACAGGAAGCCGCAUGCAGAUACCACACAGAGAAGAACCAAGGUCCACAGCAGACAGCCCUGAUUCAACUCCUAGUCAAGGUCCUAAAACAUCCGCAUUCCAGCCAUUCCAACCCCGCCUAGUCCCUGCUCAGCUCCCAGAAGACUUCAGAUCCUUACUGUCCGAGCUUAACGCAGAAGAUCCACCCUAUCCAGCUACCCUAGGACAGAACCUGGGCUAGCUCUUCCCAUCCUCUUCCCGAAGGAGGCAGCCAAGAGCUUCUCUUACACAUGUGGCUUGGCUUCAGGGACAUUUGAACUCUUAAUCAGAAGCUUCCUUCUUUGCGGCUAAGCACCCGGUCACGCUUUUGGAAGAUUGCAGGUGAGUUCAACCAAGUCUGCCUCAGAUUCCUGUCAGGUCAAAAAAUCAGAAGUCUCUAUAUGAAGCUGUACACUGGUUGGCAGAGGUGUGACCUCAUUUAGGCAAUCCUGGAUCCCUGAGCCUGCCUGCCACUGCCAGCCUCUGGGAGGAAAGCAGCUUCCUCCUCUCUCCGUUCUCCCACAUGCUGGCACAGGGUUCACACCUGAGGACCUGCUCUGCCCUUGGGGAAGAAGGAGUGGAAGGUCACGGGAACUUUGUUAUUCAUUAACACAUAGUGAGCAUAGACUGUGCACCAUGUGGGUGCUGUGUGUGGGCACCGUGCACAUGUCAGGUAAGUAGAGGAGACGUCAGGUAAGUAGAGGAGACAUUUUCUUCUUGUCACAGAGACUAUUACCCAGUAAAGACAUGGGAAAAUGAGCUGAAAGACAGCACAAGUGCCACGUCUCUUCCUGCACUGGGAGCCGUUCGCAUGGUUUUGUUUCUGUGGAGUGUUCUGUCACUUGGGGUCAGUGCAUAUGACCUCAUGGCAAUCCAUUGAGAGCACUGGUUCUCAAUCUUCCUAAUACCAAGUUGUGGUGAUCUCCCCCAUCCAUAAAGUUAUUUUUACUGUUACUUCAUAACUGUAAUUUUGCUACCGUUAUGAAUCAUAAUGUAAAUAUCAGAUAUAUAGGAUAUCUGAUAUGCAACCCCUGCGAAAGUUUGACGCCACCAGGGGUUGUGACCCACGGGUUGAGAGCUGCUGAUCUAGAACAGUCCUCAGAAUGCAUUUCUGAGGCAUAGAGAUGGUGAAAAUAGUAGCUGGUGCUUUCUUAUGCAUUCAUUGCUUCGUUCUCUUUCUCCCCCAUGGAAAGUAGUCUUGAGAAAGGUGGUAUCUGGCCUGUCUUUCUCCCUAAUGUUUCUGGAGCUUCGAAGACACUAGCUAGCAUAUAUAUGCUCAGUAAACCCAAAGAGAUGAAGAAAAACAUAGAAUUAGCAUCUCCCUUUUUUUUUUACCACCAAAGAAGCUUAGUUUUUUAAUCCAUGUGAUGUAGUUGAUAAUUUUACUUACUCCUUAUCAAAACAAAAAAACAGUAACCGCAGGCACACAUUUAUCCAAUGUCAGUUAUAGAUUCUGUUCCCUAUAAAAUAUCUGGAGCUAUCAAAGAGUAUUCUAGGCAGAAACAAAGCAUUUUGUUGUAGUUUCUUGUCCCAGAUGAAUGUGUGUUGUCUGGUAGAUGUUUGGGGUGAUAAAUAAGGUGCUGGGGCCUUCUCAUCACUGUCACACUUCUUGGUGGCUUUGCUUCUCUUGAAGACACCCAAGGCAACAUUUCAAGAGUUCAUGAAAAAUUCGGUGCCCCAUCUGCCUCAUGUGACCCAGUAGUGGAUUUGACUCAGAUGUGUAAAGAUGAGCCCAAAGGAACAGUGUAUCCAUAACAGACAGCUUUUACAAAAGACGACAUAUGUCCACUGACUUUGAGAAGCUGCAGCAAAGAAUUCAGGAAAUUUCCACUAUUUGGACAACUGGCAAAGACAACAGUUUUCGCAGAGUCCCAGGCAACACUGUGAUUAGACAGAACCAGGGAACGAAUGGAAGAACAGACCAGCUAUUCACAGGAUUUGUUACUUCUGGUUUAUUGGGAACCUUGCGGGCCCUGAUCUGUUUCCUUUGGUUUUGAUUUAAUUUAUUUUAAGUAAUAUAGGUUGCCUAUA